ensembl:lncRNA
AUGGCAGACACAGAAGCUGGAAAGGUCUCAUCACAAACGUCCUUUUCUUUGUUUUUAGGAGCAUGUGGAGAAGAAUCUCCUUCACACACUCCCUGCUCCUCCUGCUCCUCUCCCCCUGGAGAUCAGAGCUUCCUGCAAGGACGGUCGGAGGACGCCAUCGCAGACGCCUUGAGCUUGGAGGACGACAGUCGGAUGAACGCAGUGACGGCAAACCGCUCAAGUAGAGGAAAACGGCGCUCGUCUCAGUUUAGUGAGUAUCUGGACAGUAAAGCCUACGAGGACGAGCUGAGAAGAUAUGAAACAAAUCAGCGAGCGGAGCUCCAGGAGGCUCGUCUGAAAGCCCAGAAAGCUGUGAGUUACAGUAGUGUCUGCUGUUCUGUGAGGUUACAGCACACACGGCUGUUUUGGGGGCUUUUUUUUUUCCCAACAUCCGGAUUACACACUUUCUGUAAAGCAUAUGGUGACUGAACAUGGAAGCUGCCGCUGGUCAUUUUCAGCUCCUGGUUCUGUUCGGAUCGACACCACAGGCAAACUUAAGUGUGUUCUGGUAUUCUCUGCUGGCGUCUCUGCCUCUAAUGUAAGUCAUGGAGGCCACAGGCGUUGGUAGUAAGUAACCUGUAGGAGUUCAGCAGCUGACAUUUACUGUUGCUCUGCAGGCAGACUUUAUUUCAACAGAUUUAUUAUCCUCUAUGCUGAUUGGUUGGAGGGCAUCUUUGUUUCCGAGCAAAACAAAGAUCACAAAGGAGAUGAUUUAUUUAAAAAUAAAGCCAAGCAUAUGUUUAAAGAACAGCUACUGGCUGUUCCCUAUUGCUGGAUGCCGGAUGCUCAAAUCUUGCAUAACUUCCUCUUGUCGUUGACAUCACAACUGUGAAGUAACUUCAAUUGAAUUCCCCGCAGUAGACGCAUUUUGGCCGAUCAGGUAGCCGUCACGGAUGGGGUAGUGAAAUCGGUCUUUCCAGAACCAGGAGCUGCUCCUCCACAGCGGAUUGCACCGUGCUAUAUGCCUGCCACCAAGUGGCAUUUAGGAGCUAUGAAAUUAUUUUUAGACCCCUCAUUCUAGUCCACGGGUGGGCAAAAUACGACCCAGGGGCCUCAUGCGCCUCGUUACACAAUUUAAUCUGGCCCAAAGUACACUAAAUUAUACUGAUGAUCCUAAUCACUGUUUUUCAGGUGCCGAAAACUAUUCAGCAUUCAUGUGGUGUUGGAAGAUUUGUUGUUUUUCUGACGUUCAGGUGUGUUUACCGGGUCAGAAAGGCAUUUUUCCAAUCAUUCCAACAGCACUUGAAUGCAGCAUUUAUUUAAGCUGGCGUUUUUUCCUCAGGGCCAUCGAUCCAUUGGUGCAAUUCCCUCUGAAAUGAGAAUUAAAGUCACCGUUUUGAAACUAAAACAGACAAAGUGCUGCGUUUUAAAUAUAUUUACACAUUUUUAAUUAAAGUUAAANNNNNNNNNNGCAUUUUUCUGUUCAAAUUCCAUAUUAUUUCUUCCUUCCAUGAGGCGGAUUUCCAACCCACACCACAUAUCUGCUCAUGGUUCGGCCCAUCUGCCAAAUUAUUGAACCCCUUGUGGCCUACGAAUGCAAAUGUUUGCCCCCCCCCUAUUGUAUUGUAGAUCUGAGUUUUUCAGAACCAGUAAGGACUGAGGCGGUGUUUUCAUUUAAUCUUGCUAGUGUGAAAUGCAGUUUGAAGUUACUCUUUAAAACAUUUGCAGGACUGAUUUCUUUUGUUUACUUGGGUGGCCGUAACGUGACAUUUCCUUUUGUCAAAUCAUAAUAUUCUCAUCAGACUGCUCAAAAGGCUGUUCUGUGAACUUGUGAUAGUGAGGAUGUCUGUGUCGAACGCAUGUGUAGGAGCGAGAAUACAGAGAGGCCAUUCUCGGCUGUGACUCUGCAGAGGCCAGGCGGUCGCCGCCCAGAACCAAAGCUCAGCACCGAACGCAAGCAAACACGUCUGUGACGAGAAAACCGAGACGACCGGAACCCCGGAGUAAAGCUCCUCAGAGUACGUUCAUGUGGUCGAUGCUCGCCGGCAGCAACACUGUCGUUUUCAUGCAGCACGUUAAACGAUUUUUUUUUUUUUACUCUGUCCAGUGAAAAUCAAAGAGAACGACCUUCUUCCUCUGUUACGGGACGAGCUGCC